GAUGAACGCUAGCUACAGGCUAAACACAUGCAAGUCGAGGGGUAACGAGAGGAAAGCUUGCUUUCCUUGUCGACGACCGGCGCACGGGUGAGUAACGCGUAUCCAACCUGCCCCCAACUAGGGAAUAACCUUGCGAAAGUAAGACUAAUACCCUAUAAUUUCCUCAGAUGUCAUCUGCAGAGGAAUAAAGAUUUAUCGGUUGUGGAUGGGGAUGCGUCUGAUUAGCUUGUUGGCGGGGUAACGGCCCACCAAGGCAACGAUCAGUAGGGGUUCUGAGAGGAAGGUCCCCCACAUUGGAACUGAGACACGGUCCAAACUCCUACGGGAGGCAGCAGUGAGGAAUAUUGGUCAAUGGGCGGAAGCCUGAACCAGCCAAGUAGCGUGCAGGAUGACGGCCCUAUGGGUUGUAAACUGCUUUUAUACAGGAAUAAAGUUAGCCUCGUGUGGUUAUUUGUAGGUACUGUAUGAAUAAGGACCGGCUAAUUCCGUGCCAGCAGCCGCCGUAA
rnacentral:rRNA from 1 species